AUGGCCUCGCCAUCACAUGAUGCAGGGAGCUCGGGUCGCCGAUGGUCUUCCUCUACUGGAUCCCUUCCGACAAGUUCCCCUGCCUCCCCUCCCCUCCCCUCCGACGAGCUCUCCUGCAUCCCCUCCCCUCAUGUGAGCUGCCCUGAACGCGGUCGAGGCUCCCGAUGCAGUUUGAUUGGUGGUGUGGUGUGGUGUGUGCGGCUUGCAGCUUGGAGGGAGCGGGCAUGUAGUUCGUUUACCCAUCUGCAGUGUGGUUUGCCUGGUUCGACCACCACGAGCUGCUCUUCACCAGCAAAAGACUCCGACCAGCAAAAAAUUCUUCAUCGUCCAGCAUGGGAUGCCUGCAGUGCAGAGAGGAAAAACAUCAAGAAAGAGAAACAAAAAAGUGUAUUGUGCUCCUGGGCGAUUAGUGUGGUGCUGCUGAUGCAGUUUGACAGCUCACAAAAGCAGUCCACAACGCCAGCAUCAUGUUUGAGAGAGGUUCUUUUUUGUUGCAAAUUUUGGAUGAGCAUCUUCCGUGCAGUUCCAACGCAGAUGAGGUUCCGGCGUGGUCCACUGAUUUUUUGCUUGCAGUAUAGUGUGGUGAAAUUAUACUCGUCCUCCCCCUUCAUCCUCACCACUUACUCCGAUGCUUGCAGUGUGGUGUGGAUUUUUUGUAUAAAGAUUAUAGGGACCCAUUUGAUUGCAGCGAAACAUGGUGAUGUUCAGGCAAGAACAUGCAGUUUCAACCAUGUGGACAUGCAGGGAAAAAUGGUGUUUUCCGUGUUUGAUAAUUUUAUGUAUAAAAUUUAUAUGGACUCUUUGAAAAUUGUUUACCAAAGAAGUUCAUUUUGA
rnacentral:rRNA from 1 species